rnacentral:rRNA from 1 species
CCUACGGGCGGCUGCAGUGAGGAAUAUUGGUCAAUGGACGAGAGUCUGAACCAGCCAAGUAGCGUGAAGGAUGACUGCCCUAUGGGUUGUAAACUUCUUUUAUAAAGGAAUAAAACGAGGCACGUGUGCCUUUUUGCAUGUACUUUAUGAAUAAGGAUCGGCUAACUCCGUGCCAGCAGCCGCGGUAAUACGGAGGAUCCGAGCGUUAUCCGGAUUUAUUGGGUUUAAAGGGAGCGUAGAUGGGUUGUUAAGUCAGUUGUGAAAGUUUGCGGCUCAACCGUAAAAUUGCAAUUGAUACUGGUAGUCUUGAGUACAGUUGAGGUAGGCGGAAUUCGUGGUGUAGCGGUGAAAUGCUUAGAUAUCACGAAGAACCCCGAUUGCGAAGGCAGCUUACUAAACUGUGACUGACAUUGAUGCUCGAAAGUGUGGGUAUCAAACAGGAUUAGAUACCCUGGUAGUC